UAUUGGGCCCUACACGGUAGAAGCUUGUGAACCCCGUCAGAUCCGGAAGGAAGCAGCGGCAGCAAGCAGACACGCGUUGUGGUAAAGUCCAGUAUGA
rnacentral:SRP_RNA from 1 species